UCUAAACGGUGGUGACUCCCAGUAGAGUCGUGUUUGUUCUGUUUAUGAUGGAACAGUAGUCUACAACAUAUUCGUUACUACUUUGGUUAGGAUUCCAAUACACCCCCUUAGCAAAUAUGCGAGGACGGUAGAGUUUCUCCUCCAAAAACACCAAGCGACGAUAGAUGCGUGGUGAUUUUUGGACCACACAUGGGCUUCUUAAGCAGAUCUGCAUGCAUGUCCUGUGUAGGGAUUUGACGGUAGUAGAUGAAUUGUGUUUAAGCUCUAAUGAUCUUUGUCACAUUUCCUGUGUAGGAAUCUGUGGGAGUAGAUGAAUUGGAGCUUUUGAAGAGAGGUGAGUUCGCUCAAAAAAUGGUACGGCACUACAAUAUGCCUGGUGUGGUUAUAAAAUUUCAUCGUGUCAAUUAUGGCGAGCGCGGACUGAUUGUCACAGAAGAUUUGAGUGGGUGCCAUGAGGUCAUGUCGCAGAGUGUGAAGAAGAUGCCAUAGCCAAACCACUUCGGAAGCAGCGUUAAUCUUUUGUACCGUUCAUGGGGCAAUUGUUUCAGCCCGUAGAGUGUUUUAUGGAGGCGACAAAUCAUAUCAGGUUUUGGAGAAAACUUGUUAUUGUAGUCCAAGCCGAGGACUUGGCUGAAUCCACGUGCGACUAACUAAGCUUUGAAGCGGUCGAUGGUGCCAUUUGGUUUCAGUUUUAAUUUAAACAACCACCAACACGUGAUGGGAUGGCGACCGGAAGGAAGUUCAGUGAAGUUCCAAGUUCUAUUCGCAGCAUGGGAGUUGAGCUCGUCUUCAAUGGGGGAUUGCCACUGUUUUGCUUUCGGAGAGUAAAUGGCGUGCUGCAAUGCCGAAGGCUGGUUGGAAGAGCAGUGCCUUGUUUCGCAACUAGUUUGGAUGUGAAAGUGCAGAGAGGGACCGCAAAGACCAAGUGGGAGAGGUCACCGCUUUGAGAUUACAGGGAUGGCCGUCGAUAGGAAGGUUCGCCCUAGUGAAUGUUGAUGAACAUCAUUGCAUGGAGACAUUGCCAAAAGAAGGGAGAGACAAAGUAGAGCUGUGAAACAGCGACGCCGAGUUGAACUGAUUUGGUGUGAGAGGGUGUGGUAACAUUGAGACAAAGUCAUUGUCAUUGGUACUAAAGUCGGAUGCAACAUCAAAUUUUGAGGCUUUGCUGUGUACGGAUCCCGGGUGGCAGAGAAGAGGCCGCAGUAGCUGGGUGUGCAUGUUGCUGGUUAUUUGAUUUGCUUGCAAGACAGAAUGAUUUGGUUCCAAGGUUGUAUCCAAAAGGUACAGUUUAUCAGAAAGUGGACAUUCAGCAAGUACGAAAUCAUUAUAGGAGAGUAAUCGGCAUUUUUUUUUUUUUUUUUUUUUUUUUGAGUAUUCCUUCGCCAGUUCGGUGCCAUUUCGGUCAUAAUCAUUGACUAAAAACAAGUUUUAUUUUUGCUAAUCUAGAAUAUAAAAGGUGUUGGUGAGUCAGAUGGUGUACCCAUUUACCAUUGUGAUUUCGACUUUGCCAUAUCCACAUAUGGAGAGUGUAGUGUUAUCACUAAGUUAAACUUUUUCACUAGUUAAGAAAGACUCAAACAUGAUAAAUUGAUUCUUGUUAUGUACUAAGUGGUGUGUUACAUCAAUGUCAAUGAACCAUUGGUCGUCUUUGAGUACUCUAGAUGAAAUUCAUUUUGCUGAGCAAUGUGUUUAUGUGAAAUAUACAUGUGUAUAAAAUGUGGGAGGCAUUUCUUUCACAUUUUCAGAUUUUCA